rnacentral:rRNA from 1 species
UACAGGGGGUGCAAACGUUGCUCGGAAUUAUUGGGCGUAAAGCGCGCGUAGGCGGCCACUUAAGUCGGAUGUGAAAGCCCCUGGCUCAACUGGGGAAGUGCACCCGAAACUGAAUGGCUUGAAUGCACAAGAGGGUCGCGGAAUUCCCGGUGUAGAGGUGAAAUUCGUAGAUAUCGGGAGGAACACCGGUGGCGAAGGCGGCGACCUGGGUUGACAUUGACGCUGAGGCGCGAAAGCGUGGGGAGCAAACAGG